rnacentral:rRNA from 1 species
AUUGAACGCUGGCGGCAGGCCUAACACAUGCAAGUCGAGCGGGGUUUUCGGACCUAGCGGCGGACGGGUGAGUAAUGCCUAGGAAUCUGCCUAGUGGUGGGGGAUAAACGUUCGGAAACGGACGCUAAUACCGCAUACGUCCUACGGGAGAAAGCGGGGGAUCUUCGGACCUCGCGCCAUUAGAUGAGCCUAGGUCGGAUUAGCUAGUUGGUGAGGUAAUGGCUCACCAAGGCGACGAUCCGUAACUGGUCUGAGAGGAUGAUCAGUCACACUGGAACUGAGACACGGUCCAGACUCCUACGGGAGGCAGCAGUGGGGAAUAUUGGACAAUGGGCGAAAGCCUGAUCCAGCCAUGCCGCGUGUGUGAAGAAGGUCUUCGGAUUGUAAAGCACUUUAAGUUGGG